rnacentral:sRNA from 1 species
ACUCAACACUAACAAUUUAGAAUGAGCGAAUCAUCACUACUAAAGCAUGCCACGCUUUUUUGCGAGGAAACUUGAACAGUGAGUUAGCUCAAAACUUGUCUUUACGAGUUU